rnacentral:lncRNA from 1 species
GAGAGAAAAUGGAGAGACAAUUCUCACCAAUUUUCCCCAAAAAUAAACCCUUAACAACUUUUCCUUAAUGAAUUUUGGCUAUAAAGUCAUUUAUAUAGUCACUUCUUUAAGUAACCUAAACAACCAAAACCCUAAUUCAUCUAAUAUGGCCGGCCAUUUAGGGAUGUUUGGGCUUUAAUGAAUCUUUAUUCAUUAAAUUGUCAUACAAUUUAAGUUAAUG